rnacentral:rRNA from 1 species
AUUGAACGCUGGCGGCAUGCUUUACACAUGCAAGUCGAACGGUAACACGCCGCUCGGUGCUGACGCGUGUCGCACGGGUGUGUAAUGCAUCUGAACGUGCCCCCUCGUGUGGGAUAACUCCUCGCAAGAGUAGCUAAUACCGCACACGAUCUAUGGGUGAAAGCGGGGGACCGUAAGGGCUCGCGCGCUUGGAGCGGCCGAUGUCAGAUUAGGUAGUUGGUGGGGUAAAGGCGCACCAAGCCAACGAUCUGUAGCUGGUCUGAGAGGACGACCAGCCACACUGGGACUGAGACACGGCCCAGACUCCUACGGGAGGCAGCAGUGGGGAAUUUUGGACAAUGGGCGAAAGCCUGAUCCAGCAAUGCCGCGUGCAGGAAGAAGGCCUUCGGGUUGUAAAGUGCUUUUGGAGGGAACGAAAAGGAUCGGGUUAAUACCCGGGGCUAAUGACGGUACCGUAAGAAUAAGCACCGGCUAACUACGUG